GAUGAACGCUAGCGGCAGGCUUAAUACAUGCAAGUCGAGGGGCAGCACGAAUAGCAAUAUUUGGUGGCGACCGGCGCACGGGUGCGUAACACGUAUACAACCUACCUAUAACAGGGGGAUAGCCUUUCGAAAGAGAGAUUAAUACCCCGUAAUAAAUUGAGUGGCAUCACUUGAUUUUGAAAGCUACGGCGGUUAUAGAUGGGUAUGCGUCUGAUUAGCUAGUUGGUGAGGUAACGGCUCACCAAGGCGACGAUCAGUAGGGGAUCUGAGAGGACUAACCCCCACACUGGUACUGAGACACGGACCAGACUCCUACGGGAGCAGCAGUAAGGAAUGUUGGUCAAUGGAGGCAACUCUGAACCAGCCAUGCCGCGUGCAGGAUGACGGCCCUAUGGGUUGUAAACUGCUUUUGUACCAGAGAAACCUACUCACGUGUGAGUAGCUGAUAGUAUGGUAAGAAUAAGCAUCGGCUAACUUCGUGCCAG
rnacentral:rRNA from 1 species